AAUGAACGCUGGCGGCAGGCCUAACACAUGCAAGUCGAACGGCAAGACAGUAAGAGCUUGCUCUUACGGGUGGCGAGUGGCGGACGGGUGAGGAAUACAUCGGAAUCUACUUUUUCGUGGGGGAUAACGUAGGGAAAGUUACGCUAACACAGCAUACGACGUACGGGAGGAAGCAGGGGAUCUUCGGACCUUGCGCGAUUGUAUGAGCCGAUGUCGGAUUAGCUAGUUGGCGGGGUAAAGGCCCACCAAGGCGACGAUCCGUAGCUGGUCUGAGAGGAUGAUCGGCCACACUGGAACUGAGACACGGUCCAGACUCCUACGGGAGGCAGCAGUGGGGAAUAUUGGGCAAUGGGCGCAAGCCUGAUCCAGCCACACCGCGUGGGUGAAGAAGGCCUUCGGGUUGUAAAGCUCUGUUGUUGGGGAAGAAAAGCAGCAGGUUUAUCCCCCGCUGUUCUGACGGUACCCAAAGAAUAAGCACCGGCUAACUACGUG
rnacentral:rRNA from 1 species